rnacentral:rRNA from 1 species
GACGAACGCUGGCGGCGUGCCUAAUACAUGCAAGUAGAACGCUGAAGGAGGAGCUUGCUCUUCUGGAUGAGUUGCGAACGGGUGAGUAACGCGUAGGUAACCUGCCUGGUAGCGGGGGAUAACUAUUGGAAACGAUAGCUAAUACCGCAUAACAGUAGAUGUUGCAUGACAUUUGCUUAAAAGGUGCAAUUGCACCACUACCAGAUGGACCUGCGUUGUAUUAGCUAGUUGGUGGGGUAACGGCUCACCAAGGCGACGAUACAUAGCCGACCGGAGAGGGUGGUCGGCCACACUGGGACUGAGACACGGCCCAGACUCCUACAGGAGGCAGCAGGAGGGAAUCGUCGGCAAUGGACGGAAGUCUGAGCGAGCAACGCCGCGGGAGUGAAGAAGGGUGUCGGAUCGGAAAGCUCUGUUGUAAGAGAAGAACGAGUGUGAGAGUGGAAAGUUCACACUGUGACGGUAACUGACCAGAAAGGGACGGCUAACUACGUG